UACGUAGGGGGCAAGCGUUGUCCGGAUUUAUUGGGCGUAAAGAGCGUGUAGGCGGCCAUGCAGGUCAGCUGUGAAAACUCGAUGGCUCAACCUCGAGAUGUCGGUUGAAAACCGUGUGGCUAGAGUCCGGAAGAGGAGGAGUGGAAUUCCUGGUGUAGCGGUGGAAUGCGCAGAUAUCAGGAGGAACACCGAUGGCGAAGGCAGGUCUCUGGGCCAUUACUGACACUGAGAAGCGAAAGCAUGGGGAGCGAACAGG
rnacentral:rRNA from 1 species